GUACCUCCAUUCAUUGUAACUGAGAUUCUUGAUAAACGGUUUCCUGAAGUCUUGAUCUUUUAUUUAGGUGAUUAGGUUUCUCUCCCCUUGCCUAUAAACUUACUUUAUGUUUAUGUUUUGUGUUUGUGAUUUCUUGUUGGGAUGCCUUUAUGAUGUACUAAAGGCAUAUAUUUAUAGGCGGAGACAGGACCUAGUUCCUCUUUAGGGUUUCCUUAAGAUUUUCCUAAAGAUUUAAUCUCAACCGUCCAUCAAAGUAGAGAUUGAUUAGGAAAAACUCCUUCAUUAUCUAUUAAAUUAGUUACCAAAUAUAUUAAACAAUAACAUUAUUCCAUAGAAAACGGAUAACUACAAGACAACAUAAUAGAGGAAGGAAAUUAUUCCUUACAGUCUCCCACUUGGUCGUUAGUAGAAUCCAUUAAUAUUUUCUCUUAGGAAUCAUAAGACCGGGAUAAUGUGUUAUUACUAAUAUCUUUUAUCUGGUCAUCAUAAGUGUCUUGACUAAUCUAGUAAUCAAUGGGAGUCAUGGCGGUCGCAUAUCAUUCUGCACAUGAUGCCUUCCAUGUACUUCUACAUUGACUACCUUCUUAGCUAAACCAUAACAUAAGUAGGAGUUAUCAUAAUGAUCCCUUUAUUGUCUUUAAAAUAAAGACUCGUUCUGUUAUUAUAAAUCCAUCAACAAUAAUGUGUGUGCACAUUGGAAACAGAAUAUAAAAUAUGAAUAAAUCAUAAAAGAGCUCAACAUAAAUGUCAAAUAUAGGCUAAUUAAAAUAAACUACAUAAUUAGGAACUAUCAUCAAGACCCAUACUUUCAGCAUGCUUUUGGAAAGUCUUGGGAGGUAGCCCUUUUGUAAAUAUGUUUGCAACCAUAAGUUCAGUGCCGAUAUAUUCAAUGACAAUCUUUCCUCUUUUGACAUAUUGCUUUACUGAUAGGUAUUUAAUGUCCAUAUGUUUGGCUCCCUUAAAUAUCCUAUCAUGCUUAGAUAAGAAGAUUGCAGCUUCAUUGUCACAGUAAAGAGUCAAAGUCUUGUCAACAAUACUCAAAUCCCCAAACUCAGAGACAAAAGUCUGCAACCAUGCUCCUUGAAUAAAAGCCUCAUAACAUGCAACAUACUCAGCCUCCAUAGUGAAUGUGUAUAUCAGCUGUGGCUUUUGGCUUUUCCAUAAGAUGGCACCCCUAGAAAGGAGAUACACAUAGCCAAGAGUGUAGUGUUUAGGUGUUUUCGGAACUGCUUUGCUAGGAACUCUAUUCAAUAUAUAGAAUGCAGUAUGUAAUGCAUCCAUCGACAAGGAUGCUUGAUUAUCAUAAAGGUUUUAUCAUUAAGAAACCUCAUUACAAAGACCCAAAUUAUGCAUGCCCGGAUUUUGCACAUACUUUCAAAAAACCCAAAAUUUUCACAGAGAAAUCAAACAUAGAUUUAUAUAUGCAGGUCUCUAAUUCUAUCAUACUUAAUGAACUAAUCAUAUGCUUAUAACCAUACUCUGAUUCUACAUGUAAGUGCAAUUUACAUGAACCCUAAGAUCUUUUAAGCAACAUGAUUAAUCACAUGAUAAAACUGUAAAGGAGGGUUAGCGGAGUACCUCCAUUCAUUUUAAUUGAGAUUCUUGAUGAACGGUUUCCUGAAGUCUUGAUCUUUUAGUUAGGUGAUUAGGUUUCUCUCCCCUUGCCUACAAACUUACUUUAUGUGUUGUGUUUGUGAUUUCUUAUAGGGAUGCCUUUAUGAUGGACUAAAGCCAUAUAUUUAUAGGCGUAGAGAGGACCUAGUUCCUCCUUAGGGUUUCCUUAAGAUUUAAUCUCAACCCUCCAUCAAAGUAGAGAUGGAUUAGGAAAAACUCCUUCAUUAUCUAUUUAGUUAGUUACCAAAUAUAUUAAAGAAUAACAUUAUCCCAUAGAAAACCGAUAACUACAAGACCACAUAAUAGGGGAAGGAAAU
rnacentral:lncRNA from 1 species